AUUCAGGACUUAAACAUGGGAGUCUGGAGGGAUGGCUGAGAUUUUCCUCUUCCUUAGGAAAUCUCUGCGUUUUCAUCCAGAAUGAAUGAAGUAAGGAGCGGAGCUUAGGAUUUAUUAACAUGUCUUGCAUGCAAACCAGGAAGAUAUGGUUUGGAUUUUUAUGUUAUGGAAUGGAAGGAUUUCUGUUCCUGCAUAGAAGGGUUUGUACUGUGUGCAUUUUUUAAAAUACUUUGCUCAAGAUGUAAUGCCUAUCAAAGGGGAUUGAAAUCUGUGAGGAAUCAUGCCUGGAAAAAUGCCCACAGUUGCCAGCCUACUUCGGGCUGAGCGUUAAGGUAUACAAGUGCUUACAUUCCUGUUUCAUCUCACAUCAUAACUUUGCAUCAGGCAGAAGAAAUUGCCCCACAAGGACCUCUGAGGUCAGCAUCAUCUGCCAACCCCAUGAUGAUUUGGCUGCCCCAUUCCUCCCUGCCACCCAAACAACCGGGGCAACCUGGGCAGAGCCGUGGCUGGGGUAUGUGUAUCUAUUCAUCUUGUUUUCCUUCAUGUGGGCUCAACAAUCACCAAA